GAUGAACGCUGGCGGCGUGCCUAAUACAUGCCAGUCGAGCGAACAGAUGAGGAGCUUGCUCCUCUGACGUUAGCGGCGGACGGGUGAGUAACACGUGGAUAACCUACCUAUAAGACUGGGAUAACCUCGGGAAACCGGAGCUAAUACCGGAUAAUAUAUUGAACCGCAUGGUUCAAUAGUGAAAGACGGUUUUGCUGUCACUUAUAGAUGGAUCCGCGCCGCAUUAGCUAGUUGGUAAGGUAACGGCUUACCAAGGCAACGAUGCGUAGCCGACCUGAGAGGGUGAUCGGCCACACUGGAACUGAGACACGGUCCAGACUCCUACGGGAGGCAGCAGUAGGGAAUCUUCCGCAAUGGGCGAAAGCCUGACGGAGCAACGCCGCGUGAGUGAUGAAGGUCUUCGGAUCGUAAAACUCUGUUAUUAGGGAAGAACAAAUGUGUAAGUAACUAUGCGCGUCUUGACGGUACCUAAUCAGAAAGCCACGGCUAACUACGUG
rnacentral:rRNA from 1 species